GACGGAGGGUGCAAGCGUUGUUCGGAAUUACUGGGCGUAAAGCGCGGGCAGGUGGCCUUUUAAGUCCUUUGUGAAAUUCCGGAGCUCAACUCCGGAUGUGCAUAGGAUACUGGAAGGCUAGAGACUGGUAGAGGCGAGCGGAAUUCCUGGUGUAGCGGUGGAAUGCGCAGAUAUCAGGAGGAACACCGGUGGCGAAGGCGGGUCUCUGGGCAGUAACUGACGCUGAGGAGCGAAAGCGUGGGGAGCGAACAGG
rnacentral:rRNA from 1 species